UAUAUAUCUAGGAUAAGUCCCCUAGUGGAUGAUCUAUCUCUAACAAUAUAUCCUCCCUUGGUUUAUAUAUGUAUAUAUAUAUCUAGGAUAAGUCCCCUAGUGGAUGAUCUAUCUCUAACAAUAUAUCCUCCCUUGGUUUAUAUAUUCAUAUAUAUAUCUAGGAUAAGUCCCCUAGUGGAUGAUCUAUCUCGAACAAUAUAUCCUCCCUUGGUUUAUAUAUAUACAUAUACAUAUCUAGGAUAAGUCCCCUAGUGGAUUAUCUAUCUCUAACAAUAUAUCCUCCCUUGGUUUAUAUAAAUAUAUAUCUAUAUCUAGAAUAAGUCCCCUAGUGGAUGAUCUAUCUCUAACAAUAUAUCCUCCCUUGGUUUGGGAAGAAGCUAAGGAAGCAGCUUGGAAGCUUAAACAAACUCUUGAGGAAAUAUUGGUUCAUCUGACGAGAUUAAUACAAGGAGAAGGGAUAGAUAUCUCUUGGCUGGAAUUUAUUAACAAAGCAGUAGCUCAUAAUGCAGCAGAGAUUCAGAGAGUUUUUAUACAACAUGGUUUAGCAGAGUUAUCAUUGUCCUAGUCUCAUUCAGAGAGUUUUUAUACAACAUGGUUUAGCAGAGUUAUCAUUGUCCUAGUCUCAUUCA